CCUACCACAACUCAGUCCAAGUAAAUUAGGUAAAUGUCUGAGCAAAAUGUAACUACUUGCCUCAUCUAGCAUUUUCAAAAACGUAGGAUUGCACAUGGUUUUAACCUUCCAAAAUGGGCCUUUAACGCUUUGCUCGGAGACUGAUUUCUCGGCAAGCUGCAAAUGGCCGAGGAACAGUCGCCUUUCCAAGAUGAGAAAGUAAAUCAUGGCUUCUUUGGAGAAACGGUUUGCGUCCUUCUAGCGGGAUUUGAAAAAUAGUAUUAUCUGCGAUCCAUGCUCUACUGUCACCAACAGACGAACAAUCGGCGGUUUAGGUUCAGAUCUCGUCUCGUAGACGUUGGUUUUCUGUUUGUUGGCUGUGAUAUAGCUUUACUCGCUGACUGCGUAAAAUACCAAUCCUCUCUCUCCCUUUUUUUUUUUCAUCAUCACUACUGAAGCAGUAGACACUUGUCGCCUAAGAGUAGGUAAGGAUGGCCUUCCCCAUCAAAACGCGAUCCAGAGCUUCAGACUAUGGACGAGUGGAUUAUUACAAACCAUAGCUCUUGCAUUCUUUGAAAGUGUAUUAGUAAGUCCAAAAUAUACCUAUAGGAACAAAUAACUGAUUAAAUACAUGCACUCUAGCUGCUGUUUAUCUUUCUUUCUCGCUCUUGCUCAGUCGUUCUUGUGCAUGCUGGUCUGCACCUUGGACCUGGCUCAUUAGCUCUGAAUAUCUUUCUCAAAUAUUCUUUGUCUGUCUUGGCCCUGCCUCUCCCUCUCUUCCCUUUCCGCACAUUUCUUAAUGCCGCACGCCGUGAGCCGAGUAACAAGAAUAUCGACGACACGGCUAGCCAAUCUGUCAGCGAGGGGAAGAUGAC